UACAACCCCAGGGAAGCCUUCCAAUGCCUUCAAAUGGGGCUGACAUCUUGACUCUGACUUCUUUAGAGAUCCGAAGCCGGAAAUGCCCAGAUGAGCUACUCCUAAAUACCUGACCCACAGAAAUGAGUAACAAACCACUCUGCAGACCAAAUUUUGUAAAGCUAUAAUGUAGAACAGAGCUCUGGGUAUGAAACACCCUGACUGAUGCAGGGACUUUUAGUACAAGAGAUGAUGAUCCACUCUCCUUGCUAUAAUGGUCACCUCCAAGGCAAAAGACCACUAACUCUGCCUUGAGCCUGGCCUCUCUGCUGAGCUGUCCACCCCCAGAUGAGGCUCACAGACUAAGGACCUACUUGAUAUAGGAAGGAAGGGAAAAAUGAGAUUAUAUCAAUUAGUUGCCUACUAGAAAUUUAUAACUUUUUCCAGAAGUUGCACUCAGUGAAUAUUCUGAUGAGUUAAUGAAAGUAUUAUUGAUAUCAUUUAAAUUGAAGAUGACUUGUUAUUAUUUGCCCUCUGCAGGAUACAAAUGGAGCCUGUUUUUUUCUAUUGUAUGUUCUCACUUGGAAAGGACCUAAGAACAAAGGGGAGGAUGGGUGAAAUAGAUCAAGGGAUUAAGGGCUCACUACACAAAUGAGCACUGCUUAGUGUAGAAAAUUGCUCAAUCAUUAUACUAUACAUUUGAAACUAAUAUAGUGCUAUAUGUUAAUUGCUCUUUAAUAAAAA